rnacentral:rRNA from 1 species
UCCGUAGGGAGCAAGCGUUGUUCGGAUUUACUGGGCGUAAAGGGCGCGUAGGCGGCAUGUUAAGUCAGCUGUGAAAUCUCCGAGCUUAACUCGGAACUGUCAGCUGAUACAGAUGUGCUUGAGUGCGGAAGGGGCAAUCGGAAUUCUUGGUGUAGCGGUGAAAUGCGUAGAUAUCAAGAGGAACACCUGAGGUGAAGACGGGUUGCUGGGCCGACACUGACGCUGAGUGCGCGAAAGCGUGGGGAGCAAACAGG